GACGAACGCUGGCGGCGUGCUUAACACAUGCAAGUCGAACGGGCCUGUCUUCUUUUUUGGGGGUGGGUUGAGUGGCGAACGGGUGAGUAUCACGUGAGUAACCUGCCCUUCGGUCCUGGAUAACCGCUUGAAAGGGCGGCUAAUACGGGGUGGUCCGGUUGGUCCGCAUGGGCUGGUCGGGAUAGAUUCACUGUUUUUGGUGUUUCGGCGGGGGAUGGGCUCGCGGCCUAUCAGCUUGUUGGUGGGGUGAUGGCCUACCAAGGCGGUGACGGGUAGCCGGCCGGAGAGGGUGGGCGGCCACACUGGGACUGAGAUACGGCCCAGACUCCUGCGGGAGGCAGCAGUGGGGGGUAUUGCACAAUGGGCGGAAGCCUGAUGCAGCGACGUCGCGUGAGGGAGGGAGGCCUUCGGGUUGUGAACCUCUGUUUCCGGUGGUGAAGGCCCUGUCCGUGUGGUGGGGUUGACGGUAGCCGGGGAUGAAGCGCCGGCUAACUACGUG
rnacentral:rRNA from 1 species